UACAGGGGGGGCAAGCGUUGUUCGGAAUUACUGGGCGUAAAGGGCUCGUAGGCGGCCUUGUAAGUCUCGUGUGAAAGCCCUCGGCUUAACUGAGGAUCUGCACGGGAUACUGCGAGGCUUGAGUUCGGGAGAGGAAAGCGGAAUUCCGGGUGUAGCGGUGAAAUGCGUAGAUAUCCGGAGGAACACCAGUGGCGAAGGCGGCUUUCUGGACCGACACUGACGCUGAGGCGCGAAAGCUAGGGGAGCAAACGGG
rnacentral:rRNA from 1 species